rnacentral:SRP_RNA from 1 species
GCUGGGCAUGCUGGUGCAUGCCUGUAAUCCCAGCUACAUGGGAGGCUGAGGCAGGAGAAUAGCUUGAACCCAGGAGGCAGAGGUUGCAGUGAGUGGAGAUCACGCCACUGCACUCCAGCUUGGGUAACAGAGUGAGACUCUGUCUCAA